rnacentral:rRNA from 1 species
UACAGAGGUCUCAAGCGUUGUUCGGAUUCAUUGGGCGUAAAGGGUGCGUAGGCGGUGGGGUAAGUCAGGUGUAAAAUCUCGGGGCUCAACUCCGAAACCGCACUUGAUACUGCCCUGCUAGAGUACUGGAGAGGAGAUUGGAAUUUACGGUGUAGCAGUGAAAUGCGUAGAUAUCGUAAGGAAGACCAGUGGCGAAGGCGAAUCUCUGGACAGUUACUGACGCUGAGGCACGAAGGCCAGGGGAGCAAACGGG